GACGAACGCUGGCGGCGUGCUUAACACAUGCAAGUCGAACGGAAAGGCCCUGCUUUUGUGGGGUGCUCGAGUGGCGAACGGGUGAGUAACACGUGAGUAACCUGCCCUUGACUUUGGGAUAACUUCAGGAAACUGGGGCUAAUACCGGAUAGGAGCUCCUGCUGCAUGGUGGGGGUUGGAAAGUUUCGGCGGUUGGGGAUGGACUCGCGGCUUAUCAGCUUGUUGGUGGGGUAGUGGCCUACCAAGGCUUUGACGGGUAGCCGGCCUGAGAGGGUGACCGGGCACAUGGGGACUGAGGUACGGCCCAGACUCCUACGGGAGGCAGCAGUGGGGAAUAUUGCACAAUGGGCGGAAGCCUGAUGCAGCGACGCCGGGUGCGGGAUGACGGCCUUCGGGGUGUAAACCGCUUUCGCCUGUGACGAAGCGUGAGUGACGGUAAUGGGUAAAGAAGCACCGGCUAACUACGUG
rnacentral:rRNA from 1 species